UACCUGCAGCUCGAGUGGUAACCGCUAUUAUUGGGCCUAAAGCGUCCGUAGCCGGUUUGGUAAAUAUCUGGGUAAAUCGUGAGGCUUAACUUCACGAAUUUCGGAUAGACUGCCAGACUUGGGAUCGGGGGAGGUCAGAGGUACUCCAGGGGUAGCGGUGAAAUGUUGUAAUCCUUGGAGGACCACCGGUAGCGAAGGCGUCUGACUAGAACGAGUCCGACGGUGAGGGACGAAGCCCUGGGGCGCAAACCGGAUUAGAUACCCGGGUAGUCCAGGGUGUAAACGAUGUGGGCUUUGUAUUGGAGGUCCCACGUGGGCGUCCAGUGCAGAAGAGAAGUUGUUAAGCCCAUCGCCUGGGAAGUACGGUCGCAAGGCUGAAACUUAAAGGAAUUGGCGGGGGAGCACAGCAACGGGAGGAGCGUGCGGUUU
rnacentral:rRNA from 1 species